rnacentral:rRNA from 1 species
ACUCCUACGGGAGGCAGCAGUGGGGAAUAUUGGACAAUGGGCGCAAGCCUGAUCCAGCCAUGCCGCGUGAGUGAUGAAGGCCUUAGGGUUGUAAAGCUCUUUUGUCCGGGACGAUAAUGACGGUACCGGAAGAAUAAGCCCCGGCUAACUUCGUGCCAGCAGCCGCGGUAAUACGAAGGGGCUAGCGUUGCUCGGAAUCACUGGGCGUAAAGGGCGCGUAGGCGGCCGAUUAAGUCGGGGGUGAAAGCCUGUGGCUCAACCACAGAAUUGCCUUCGAUACUGGUUGGCUUGAGACCGGAAGAGGACAGCGGAACUGCGAGUGUAGAGGUGAAAUUCGUAGAUAUUCGCAAGAACACCAGUGGCGAAGGCGGCUGUCUGGUCCGGUUCUGACGCUGAGGCGCGAAAGCGUGGGGAGCAAACAGGAUUAGAUACCCUGGUAGACA